GCUCUGAGAAAAUCUUCUGGCCUCUGGCCCCUCUGUACCCUUGUGGAUGGCUGCUCCCUCUGGGAAGCUGUAUCUGUGUGGCAGGCACAGAGAGAGCUGCUCUUGGCAGGGGAGGCAUCCCUGGCAGGGAACACCUGACAGAACUUCCCAUGGGUUUUCCUUCCCAUGCCCUCUUGCACCCUCAGAGUGACAUGACUGUUGCACAUCAGAAUCUGAAGGCUUAGGUUUCUUGGAAGUGGAGGCUUAGAGGAGAGGGCAAGAGUGGCCCUGCCAACUUUCUCAAGAUUCUCUCACCAGAAGGGGAGGGGUGUGCGGUAAAGCCCUGCCUCCCAGUUAAAGAGGUGCCCUUUGCUGGAGUGUCCUCCAAGCACUUUCUCUCCUUUAGGGACCCAUGUGGAGUGGCUGAGCUACAGUUGGAUGCCUGAUGGACAAUUCAGGGAUUUAACAUCUGAAUCAAAUUGAUUUGCAUCAGAAGCAAAUGAGGAGUCCAUGCCAGAGGUCAGGUGUCAUCAUCUCCUCAAUUAUUUCAACUUUUUAACAAAGACUAUACAGAGAAUUCUGGAGAGUGAAGAACCUGAAUAGUGCCCGCCCUCCCACCAGCACAAUAGGAUGCAGAAGAAGGGACCUCCUCAUGUGGACGAGCAGAAUGCAGAGUGGAAAUAAAGACUUCAGAGGUGGUAGAAACUAAAAAGACUGGCUGCACUCAGAAUCACGUGGUACAGUGUCCACUCCCUCCCUCAGGAAGAUGGGUGAAGGCCUUGCCUGCAGACUUCGGCCAGUCUCCUAUCAGCUGCACCCCCACCCCACACACAGGAGAAAGCUAAGCCCCAGUACUAAGCCCUAACUCCUAUAUAUAAAAUUGCCUGAGUUAUGUCCAUCUCUUACUAUUUUUUUUAAGAAAAUGACAGAAAGCAUACAUCUGCAGCUUUCAAGGCAAAGACAUGAGAAGAUUCACAUUCCUGUUUGAUGCCAUAGGGUGUAAUAAAAUCCAAAAAGAUUUCAGACUUCUAGGAUUGGUAUGUUCAGAAAUUUUAUAUUUCUCAGUUUUGUGUUCUGUCAGAUAAAAACAGAACAAAGUAAAAAGAAAGAUUUCCGGUGGAGGAAUGAAAAUACAACAGAAAUUAUUUCUUCUCUAUGGUGAAUGUUAUCUGUGUAAUUAAAACGGGGAAUAAGAACUUCUUUCAUGUAAAUUAUGAAGAUGAAAGAUCAGUUAUUUUUCCAUGGGGGAUUCAGAAUGAAUCUAUCCUUCUACACCCAUAAUUAUUAACCCUUCCACUUAGCUUACUCCAUGACCCUAAUACAGAAUUAUCUAGAAAUUUUGCAAUUUUGUAGGCUGUGCUUUUUAAAGAUUCUGAAACCCCAGUCCUAUAUCUUGAGAUGGUUUUAAUAUGCCCUUUAAUUAGAGGCAGGGAAAUGAUCUUAAUAUUAGACUCUAAAAUAAUUAUUAAAUUCCCUUCCAAUGUGUAAA